ensembl:lncRNA
UCUAUUGCUGGCAAUCUUGCCUCCCCCUUCAGAGAAGGCAGUGGCACCCCACUCCAGUACUCUUCCCUGGAAAAUCCUAUGGACGGAGGAGCCUGCUUGUGCUUCAUCCAGUCCAGCGUUUCACAUGAUGUACUAUGAUGAUGGAAGCUGAGAAGUCCCAGAGCUGCCCUGGUGUCUGCAAGCUGGAGGCCCAGGGAAGCUGGUGGUGUGAUUCCUCUCCAAACCUGGAUGCCGGAGAACAAGAGGAGCCAAGAACAUCAGUCCCAGUCUGGGUCCAAAAGGCCUGCGGACUGAUACGUGACCAGAGGCGUCUGGGUCUCCUUGGAGUAGGACACUGCCUCCCUGGGCAGGAAAUGCGCUUGGGUAAACUUCAACAGGCCUAGCUUACGCAGUCUUCUUGUGUUCAUGGUCCCAAGUCUCCUGAGUCUUGGCUUCCAGCUUCACUGGGAGCGAUCACUGAUUUCGAGGAUACAGAUGUAGGGAUUUGGAUCAGAGCGGGCUCCAGACAGAUUCCAUACUUUGUAGCAGGGCCUCUGUCUCUCAUUGUUUGCAAUCCAGGUCAGAGUCAUCCUGAACUGGAUCUUUAUUCUGCUGCAUAUCAGCCUCUUUUGUUUCUCUCUCCUCUUCCUUCAUUUUCCAAUCGUCCCUUAGCUGUGCUCAGAGCUGCUUUUUGCGCUGGACUUCAGCUUUUCACUCACUUUUGUUAGACAUCUGUUUCUGGGUUCUCCACACCAAGUCCUUCCUCUCUUGGUCCUCUGAAGACAGACGCUCCUCACCAGUCAACCACGCACAGGCACCUCCUCCCACUCUUCUUCACCUUGUCCUUCAGUAGCAGCACUUCCUGGCAGGUCCUAAAGAGACUGGGCUCCUGUCAGAGUGAAUGGAACCCCACAGUGCCCCAAAACUGAAGCCCUGGUGGGUCCUGAGGGGAGCCAGCUCCCAUUAGUGUGGACUUGAUAACCCCCCACCCCUGCCCGUGUUCCGGAAGCCAAAGCAGGUUCUGGAGAUGGGACUCCUGUCAGCUGUCAAGACAUCAUUUCUUAAAAUUUGCUUGUGGUGUAGAAUCUGAGAACAUGUCAAUGAGUUUUUUUCUCUGUAACUCAAAACUGAUUGGUCCAUCUUGUACCUUGAAUGGUUCUUUUAUCCAUACAUGAUUCUGUAGCAUCAUGCAUGGAUCAUUUGGAAAAUAUUGGGUCACUUAAGUUAUACAGCUCUUCCAAAUGUUGACACAUAUUGUUAUACAAUGUUUUUAAAAACACUAUUGUUUAUGUCACUGUCCAUCUCCUCAGAAAAAUCUUUAUAGAUUUGAAAUUUGUCAAGGUCAUAGUAGUGGGUAGAAGUUUCCCAAAAUUCCAAUGUUUGCUUGAGAGGUCAAUUUUCUUUCUUUCUUCUUUUUUUCUUUUUGACUGCACCACACAGCAUUCAGGAUCUUAGUCCCCAGACCUAGGAUGGAAUCUACGCCCUGUGCAGUGCAAGUGUGAAGUCUUAACCCCUGGACUGCUAGGGAAGUCCCUCAAAUGUUUACUGUUAAUGACAAAUACUGUCAGUUUUCCUUGGAGUGACAGGCUCACUGGAUUUGUUGUUGAGAAAUGUCCACCAACCAGUUUCUCUCUCAGUCAUUCUUUUAAGUAAAGGUGGUGUUCCUGAAGAAAGCAGCUAGUUCAGCUUGAAACUCAAUCAUACAAGUACUUUUCCUUGAGGCUACCUUAGGAUAGAAGUGCUUCAUGUGCCCUAUUUUGAUGCAAAGCUUAUUAAAAAGAUGGGUUGAGAUUUAAUAAAAUUGCUAUUUUUAACUGAUUCAUCAAAGAGAUUUUUAAGUGGAACUGACAUUGUGAAAAAAACAAAACGGAGUGCAUGCUGGUGAAGAAUAAAAGGACCGCUAGUACAGUUUGGUGCCCUGCCUUGGUUUGUGUUAAAAUGCCAUCAGUUUUACCCACCACUGCUUUUGCAAACAUCAAAAGUAAUGAAAAAGGCGAACUAUAUCUUAGUAUUAUCAUGAAAGGGGUUUACCUGGUGGCUCAGUGGUAAAGAAUCUGCCUGCAACGCAGGGGAUUGCUUGCAGUAGAGCAGGUGUGGGUUCUAUCCCUGGGUCAGGAAGAUCCCCUGGAGGAGGGCAUGGCAACCCACUUCAGUGUUCUUGCCUGGGAAAUCCUGCAGAUAGAGGAAUCUGGAGGGGUAUGGUCCUCGGGGUCACACAAAGUCAGACAUGACUUAGCCACUAAACCACCAUCACCAACACCACCAUUAUCAUGAAAACAGUGCCAAACUUAUGGACCAUCUGACAGGGCCUCAGGGACCCAGGCCCAGUGUGUCUGGACCAAGCUUUGAUAACCCUCAGUUUAGAGUGUUUGCUCUCCCUCAAGCGAUAUGAAGACGUCUUGUAAUCAUGGUUCUCUCUCAAGCAUUUUAAUGCUGAAUACAGGGGAGGGACCGCGUUGUCAAACAUCUAGAAAAAUCAGGAUCCUUCGGUGUUUAAGGACAACAGGCCUUGAGAUGCUAGGUGUUCCCAAAGAGAGGAUAGGAAAGAUCUCCCAGAACCUGUGUCUCAGAUAAAAGUGAAGGUUAUUAGGGCCAGCUGAUUUCUUGAUUUCUCUGGGUAACUUUCUUUUUCUUCUUUCCUAGCUGUGGACAGUUAUGAUGAUGUUCUACAUGUGGGAAAGGGAUUUUUGUCUUUCCUUUUUGUCUCCAUUUCCUUCAUAUGAACACGGUUCAGAAUAACCUGCUUUUCAUCACUAAUUAUUAGAGAAAUGAAAAUCAAAACUACAAUGAAAUAUCACCUCACACUGGUCAGAAUGGCUAUCAUCAAAAUAUCCACAAACAAUAAAUACUGGAGAGGGUGUGGAGAGAAGGGAACCCACCUACACUGUUGGUGGGAAUAUAAAUUGGUACAGCCACUAUGGAGAACAGCAUGGAGGUUCCUUAAAAAACUAAAAUGCCCACUGGAAUCCCACUCCUGGUCAUAUACCUGGAGAAAAACAUGAUCUGAAAGGAUACGUACACUCCAGUGUUCACUGCAGCACUGUUUACAAUAGCCAGGACAUGGAAGCAACCUAAAUGUCCAUCAACAGAGGAAUGGAUAAAGAAGAUGUGGCGCAUGUAUACAAUAGAAUAUUACUCAGCCAUUAAAGAAGAAUGAAAUAAUGCCAUUUUCAGCAACAUGAAUGGACCUAGAGAGCACACUGAAUGAAGUAAGUCAGAGAAGGAGAAAUAUCACAU